rnacentral:misc_RNA from 1 species
UUGACUGAUUUUGGUAAAAUCAAACUCAGAGGGGCCUGUAACUGCAAAGAGCCUGUGGGGGCCGCUGUCCCCGGCGGGCGUGGUGGCCCGCCGAGGCAACGGCUGUCUUCUGGGGUAGCGUUCGCGAUGGUUUUCAGGGGAGCUGUAGCAACCUCUGUAAUGAUCCCUCCGCUGGUUCACCAACGGAGA